rnacentral:rRNA from 1 species
ACGCACGCUGGCGGCGUGCUUAACACAUGCAAGUCGAACGGAAAGGCCCUGCUUUUGUGGGGUGCUCGAGUGGCGAACGGGUGAGUAACACGUGAGUAACCUGCCCUUGACUUUGGGAUAACUUCAGGAAACUGGGGCUAAUACCGGAUAGGAGCUCCUGCUGCAUGGUGGGGGUUGGAAAGUUUCGGCGGUUGGGGAUAGACUCGCGGCUUAUCAGCUUGUUGGUGGGGUAGUGGCUUACCAAGGCUUUGACGGGUAGCCGGCCUGAGAGGGUGACCGGCCACAUUGGGACUGAGAUACGGCCCAGACUCCUACGGGAGGCAGCAGUGGGGAAUAUUGCACAAUGGGCGGAAGCCUGUUGCAGCAACGCCGCGUGCGGGAUGACGGCCUUCGGGUCGUAAACCGCUUUCGCCUGUGACGAAGCGUGAGUGACGGUAAUGGGUAAAGAAGCACCGGCUAACUACGUG